AAUACGUUCCCGGGCCUUGUACACACCGCCCGUCAAGUCACGAAAGUUGGUAACACCCGAAGCCGGUGGCCUAACCCUUGUGGGGGGGAGCCGUCGAAGGUGGGACUGGCGAUUGGGACU
rnacentral:rRNA from 1 species